rnacentral:lncRNA from 1 species
ACAAUUUGAAGAAUGACCUAUCAAUUUAAUCCACAUAGAAAGGUCAUUUUGACUUUCUUUUUGGAUCUAAUCACAAUUACCUUACUUUUUCUUUUCUUUUUUUCGUGUUUAAGUGCAUAUUUUUUUUGCCCUUUCCCUUUUUGGAUCUAAUCACAAUAACAUAAUAUAUAUUUGCAAAAACUGAGAAUUAUGAUUUAUACUUUUUUUUUUUAUAAUCCAAAAGAGAAUUAUGAUAUGAUUUAUACAUUCGUAUAAGUCAGUAAUAGUGUAGAGAAAGCAAUUUAAUAUUUUUAGAUAUUUUUACGUUAGAAAACCUUAAUACAUGUCGAC